CUCAUACCAUAGUGAAGAUGACAUCCAUUUUGAAGUGACCAGGACCCAUUUGAUUGACAAGUCGUCUCCUUACAUCCUUCUCCGCCACUGAAAUGGUCACAUCUGACAUACACCACAUCACCAGACUUGGACUCGCUGCAGGUAUCUAUACAGUCAGAGUUCUGGACACAGACUCGCCAGCAGCAACCGGAUUCGAUUUGAUCACUUCCAUGCUUGCUAUGUGCUAUACUGAUGCCAAAAACUGCAGAAUCAAAGCACAACGUAACAGUGAUCACGUGACAUGAUAACAUAUCAACAACCCGCCUACGUCACCCCCUCUCGCGUGCAGGUGAGGAGAUAUCAAACCACCUGUAGUGUAUUCAAUGGAGGUGACGAUAGUACGUGUUUAGAGUCGAUAGAAUGAUGGCAGGACAGAAGA